AUGCAUAGGAAUCUGCCUAGUAGUAUAGGAUAGCCACUAGAAAUGGUGGGUAAUACUGUAUAAUCCCUGCGGGGGAAAGAUUUAUCGCUACUAGAUGAGCCUAUGUCAGAUUAGCUAGUUGGUGGGGUAAUGGCCCACCAAGGCUGUGAUCUGUAGCUGGUCUGAGAGGAUGAUCAGCCACACUGGAACUGAGACACGGUCCAGACUCCUACGGGAGGCAGCAGUGGGGAAUAUUGGACAAUGGGCGCAAGCCUGAUCCAGCUAUGCCGCGUGAGUGAGGAAGGCCUUAGGGUUGUAAAACUCUUUCAGUAGGGAAGAUAAUGACGGUACCUAUA
rnacentral:rRNA from 1 species